CAUUACAUUUAUGUUGCACUUUGUUUUCAUGAAACCCUGACUCUGGGUUGUGUGCGAUAGAGUAACUACGGUCAGUUCUGCUGUAUGUGAGAAGAAGCUGUGGAGAAAAUUACUUGCAACAACGGUUCUGUAUUUGCAAUUGCGCUUGCUCGGUCUAUUUCUUCUGGGAGCCAAAAGAGAUAUUUUCCUUGUAUAGCUCAUCCCCACCAAAUUGAAUAGAAACAUCAUUACUACUGUACGUUAAAGUAUAGUCACUUGACAGUAUUUUACUGUAUGGUAUAUAAAUAGAAUUUACAGCAAUGUGUAUGUCAUAUGUGCCCAAAAUUCCCAGCAUGCAUUGUAAUAUUCAUGGCUCCAGUGUUUAAACAUGGCAGUGUAAAUAAGACACACAUGCAGGAAAAUACAAUUAUACAAGAAAGAGAAUGUUCCUGAAAAUAUAUUGUGUAGAAAUACUGAACAAUGCGUCACUGUUGCAGAAAAGCAUUGUUGUAUGUCCUUCUCCUACGUCCACGUGGUGACAGUACCUGUAUCAUUAUCAGGAGCAAAUUGCUGCUUUCACCUGAUUCAGGCGCAUCCAGCUAAACGCGUGCUGCAGCGGGUUGCCAGCCAGUACGAUGUACCAUCUAUUCCAUCCCCGGGUCAGGCCUGUGGAUACGAGGAGGACACCAUGGGUGUGCUCCGCAAGCAGGACCCCACGCACAGAGACACCACCCUGGGCCCAGGCUACUACACCCCCUUGAAUUUAAAUCAGGAACCUGUGAGAAACUCCACAUCAUUGCUGAAAUGCGCAUGCGCACACCGUCUAAACCAGUUUGAACUCGACCGAGCGGCGAACUCACCUCCGACUGAACCGGAGCCUUGUGACGAUAGUCCGUCGACAACUUCUUAACAGAAACCCCCGAAGAAAACUUGACCACACUUGGACAAUUGGAUGUGAACUGAAUUGUUUCUACCAUUACGGAUUUUUGUCUGGUCUGGAGUUUGAUUCUAGCGUUUGAACAUUUUCUGGACAGAAGCGGGAACGGACAACCAUUUUGCCCUAGAAGGCGGCGAGAGGUCGUGGAGUGCCAGCCUAUGGUAUUUGAGGUCCAGGAGAGGUGACCUGCGCUGUUUUCUUUUGAGGAGAUAUCUGAAGAAUUUCAUCAGAUCACGAGCAAAGACCUGGGGACUUUCAAUGCAUCCCUUGACAAAUUUGUGCCUGGCCUGCUGAAACUGUACAGGUCUAAGAAGGGAACUCUUGGUGAGAAGAUGGAAGACCUUCUGGAUAAACUUGAUGAACAGACAUCCAACAUUGUGUCCCACCGAAAGACGGCAGCACUGAGAGGCCUGCCGAUUUUCCUCCGAGAAGAUGCAACAAAGGUUUUCCUGAACUGCUUGGACACUGAUAUUUUGGAACCAGUGCUGAACGGUGCAUCUGUUGCCGUCCUCACCAUCCGACAAGAUGACAAUGCCGAUGCAUCUGUGCGAGACCAGGCAGUUGUGUUUGAAGAGGACAUCGUGCUACAUAACAUUCCAGACCUCUCUACGGCCUUGGCAUACAUCUUUGGCCUUCUGUAUGCCCUCAACAUUGAUUAUCCAAAGCAGAUGAGGUAUACCUUUGAAGCAAUUCAGGCCAUCUUUUUUUUAACUCGGUUGUUCAAGAAAAACUAAAGUAUCUAUGCAAAAAAAAAAAAAAAAAAAAAAGUCACCUGUUUCAACUGGCAUAGGGAUGUAUGUGAUUGAAAAUUUUAUUUUUAUUUAUUUAUUAUGAAAUGUUCCCCUCCUGUUGUCCUUUGGUUCAGGAACAAAGAAGGAAGUACAGGGAGGAUGAAGGAAGGAAGGAUAAGGAGGGAGGGAGGGAGGAAUGGAAGGGGAAAGCAGGGGAGGAAAGAAGGAAGGACAGAGGAAGAAAAAAAAGGGGGGGGUAUGGGAUGGAAGGAGCGGAAGAAUGAAGGCAGGAAAGAAAGAAGGGGGGGCAGUCAAAGCAGGAUGGGUCAUUUUGACCUGGUUGGACAAUGUGAAGGUUAAGUGGAUAAAUCAUUAUUAGAUAUGAUUUUAGUCAGAGGAAUCUAUGUUGUUGACAAUAUAUGGAGAGAUUCUGUCAUGCAGUAUUUUAAAAGCUUUGUCGAAGUGUUGCCCACUUCACGUGAAGCGCAGAACUGGUGUUUUAACAGUUAGUUCCCUGUUCAUUGAUGGUGAAAUUGUUAAAACUUUUAACUGCUCUAGUUCAUUAUAGUUAUGCCCAUGUAAAACUUCUGGGUAUACAGCCAAUCAUUUGUGGGACUAUUCUAUGUACAAGUGGUUAAGUUUGGCUCAGGGUCUGUGCAUGAGUUACUAUAUGUAGCUGGACACCUUUUUUUUUCCCCCACAUACUUUGUUUUUCUUUAUUGGUUCUGGACUUCAAUGUUAACGUCUGUGCUGUGGCGCUCAAAGCACCCAAAAGAAAAUGUCAAUAUUUUCUUUUUUACAGAAAUUGACCCGAUUACCCAUGACGUUCUGAAAUGUACUUGAGGCACUGUUAAACAAAAUAAAUAAGAUUUCAGAUAACA